UUACAGCACUUACCCCAGCAGGAAUAAUUUAGGGACAUCGCAAGGUUUUUGUGUGGCAUGCACUUAAGAUGCAUCUAUAACAAGCUUGGGUUGACAUGACCCAUCACAACUAGGAGAAGUGGAUUGUGGAUAGCGAACAAUGCAACCACUGGAUGAUUAAUGACAGUUUGAGCUGGGAACCAAAGCCAUGAACAAGAAGAAUCCCAACAUUGGACACUCCCAUGGGGCGGUUUUGCUGAGAGUGAGUCAGAGUGAGCAGUCUCCUCCCUUGGCAAAGAAGAGCCUUGUCGCGUCACAUUCCCCACAAUGUAAGAAGUUUCCUUCACUGUAAAAUCUGAGGAUUAGAAGGAGGAAUGACUUAUCGGGAGAUUGGCAAUGAUGGUUUUGAAAAUCAGGAGUCUCUCGCCUGAAUCGGAAAAUUUGGCAAGUAUAUGCCGUUUGUCAUUACGCUAGCUGACUUAAAGAACAAUGAACUUGAACUGGAAGUGACAUUAAACAGCUUGGAGCUUCCUGGAAGAAUUGUUCACAAUCUGCCAAACUGCUACUUGGGAAAAGCGCCCUGAGAUAAGCCCCUGAAGUGACAUGAGGGGAAAAAAGAAAUAUGUUCCUCAUUAGGACAAGAAACUUUGUUUCACAUGGAAGACCUUCUUCUGCUGUUACCUCUUCUUGUGCAAUGCUGCUGUGGCAGCAGACAAAGAGGGAAAAAAAGCCAAACAAGCUCGAGGGGAAACAAAUUUCAGUUGUAUUUUGUUUCCUGACUGUUGUCAAAUAAUUAUACAAUAAAAUACCAAAUGAUGGCU